rnacentral:rRNA from 1 species
CCUACGGGCGGCAGCAGUGGGGAAUAUUGCACAAUGGGGGAAACCCUGAUGUAGCGACGCCGCGUGAGUGAAGAAGUAUUUCGGUACGUAAAGCUCUAUCAGCAGGGAAGAAAAUGACGGUACCUGACUAAGAAGCCCCGGCUAACUACGUGCCAGCAGCCGCGGUAAUACGUAGGGGGCAAGCGUUAUCCGGAUUUACUGGGUGUAAAGGGAGCGUAGACGGCAGCGCAAGUCUGGAGUGAAAUCCCAUGGCUUAACCAUGGAACUGCUUUGGAAACUGUGCAGCUAGAGUGCAGGAGAGGUAAGCGGAAUUCCUAGUGUAGCGGUGAAAUGCGUAGAUAUUAGGAGGAACACCAGUGGCGAAGGCGGCUUACUGGACUGUAACUGACGUUGAGGCUCGAAAGCGUGGGGAGCAAACAGGAUUAGAUACCCGGGUAGUC